UAGGGAAUCUUCGGCAAUGGGGGGAACCCUGACCGAGCAACGCCGCGUGAGUGAAGAAGGUUUUCGGUUCGUAAAACUCUGUUGUUAGAGAAGAACAGCGCAUAGAGUAACUGUUAUGCGUGUGACGGUAUCUAACCAGAAAGCCACGGCUAACUACGUGCCAGCAGCCGCGGUAAUACGUAGGUGGCAAGCGUUGUCCGGAUUUAUUGGGCGUAAAGCGAGCGCAGGCGGUCAAUUAAGUCUGAUGUGAAAGCCCCCGGCUCAACCGGGGAGGGUCAUUGGAAACUGGUUGACUUGAGUGCAGAAGAGGGGAGUGGAAUUCCAUGUGUAGCGGUGAAAUGCGUAGAUAUAUGGAGGAACACCAGUGGCGAAGGCGACUCUCUGGUCUGUAACUGACGCUGAGGCUCGAAAGCGUGGGUAGCAAACAGG
rnacentral:rRNA from 1 species